CAAGAGACCACCACAUCAAUCGUUCAUCACCAUCCCCAUCUCACGGUGUGUACCCUCAAUCCCCGGAAUAGAACGAUCCCUAUUUAUUACGUACUACUAAUGACAUUUCAGGGUUAAAUUGCGCGCUUACUUUUAGCUGCAUCAACUGGCGGCGUGGGUUGGGUCAGGUUCUGAUCCAAAUCUGCUUCAGAAAGUGGCGACGCGGGCGGCAUCAAAGGAGUUGUCAGCAAUCUGACGUGCAAGGCUUCCAAUUCUGUUUUGGGUUUGGGUUUGGGUUUGUUGCACUAGUUUUCGUUGACGUCUUUGGAGUGGUGGCGUCAAGGCUGCGUGGUGGUGUCCCUUGCGGCGUGGCGGCAAUGGUGAGUUGCUGUGGUGGCUGCGGUCAGGGGCGGAACUAUGUUCAGGUCUGGCGGGGUCCGGACCACCCUCAAGUUUUUGACAGAUCGCUCAAUACCAAGUGUUGCAGUAAUAAAGCUUAAAAUAAUUUUUUAAUCCAAUACAUGGACACCCCCGCGCCAUCCCUUUCCCUUCCUCCCUCAAACCCAAUCUCACACUACCACGUGCCACUUGCUAGGUAAGAGAAAGAAAACAAUAACAGAAAGAUGGAUAGAUCGUAAAUGUCCCCCUGAUUACUAUUCUAUAUAUAAUAUUUUAUUGAAUUGAAA